ACCUCGGUGGUGUAAUGGUAGUAGCGCGCGUCCCCAGUAUGGAUGAAACACGGUUUCGAUUUCCGCUUGAGGCC